rnacentral:rRNA from 1 species
GAAAGUCUGACGGAGCAACGCCGCGUGAGUGAUGAAGGUUUUCGGAUCGUAAAACUCUGUUGUUAGGGAAGAACAAGUACCGUUCGAAUAGGGCGGUACCUUGACGGUACUUAACCAAAAAGCCCCGGCUAACUACGUGCCACCAGCCGCGGUAUU